AUAAGAUUUGUGAUCUUAAUAAGUUCAUUGUACCACUAAGUUAAAGUGGUUCUCGUGAAAAUUGAGAGCAAAUUUAAUAUUUAUUAGAUUAUUUGAAGUUAAAGUGGUUCUCGCCGCCUCACGCUUCACUCUCGCCGUUCACCAACACUCUCGCCUCUUCACUCUGAGAUUGGGGAAUGAAUGUUUUGAUACAUACCUUCCACGUGCUCAUUUCGAAGAUCUACUUUCACAAAUUGCUUUUGUAGUGGUUUCCAUUUUUAUUAAUUGGCUGAUAUGUAAAUGUAAAUGCAAAUGCAAAGGUGAGGCUUUGUCCUUAAUUGGGGAUUGAAUCGGUUUUUGUGUUUUGAUACAUUUCUUCCACGUGCUCAUUUCAAAGAUCUACUUUCACAAAUUGCUUUUGUAGUGGUUUCCAUUUUUAUUAAUUGGCUGAUAUGUAAAUGCAAUUGGCUGAUAUGUAAAUGCAAUUGCAAAGGUGAGGCUUUGUCCUUAAUUGCUAAUUUUAUCAGAAUCUUCAAUUGCUCUAACAAAUGUAUCACACUCUCUUUGUAGUUAUUUUUUUACGGCAAUAGUUGAUGGCUUAAUGCAAUGCUGAUUUGCAAAGUUAAUUUGUUACAAAGAAUGGCAAUGGUUAUGCAAUGCUGACUUGCAAAGUUAAUUUGUUUCAAAGAUGGCAAUAGUUGAUGCCAUGCUGACCUGCAAAGGUGACACACCAUUGAAGGUGUUUGUCUUUAAUACAAAGAAGAAGAACAGCAACAAGUUAGUGAUAUGCUGAUUUGCAAAGCUAAAGGUGAUCCACUUAUUCUUUAUAUUUUCGUUUAUUUUCUUUGCUUCAUUCAUGUGGCUAGGUAGUGUAUAAAUAG